rnacentral:rRNA from 1 species
GAGUUUGAUCAUGGCUCAGAACGAACGUUGGCGGCGUGCUUAACACAUGCAAGUCGAACGAGAACGGUUUCUUCGGAGACCUAGUAAAGUGGCGCACGGGUGAGUAACACGUAGAUAACCUGUCCAGGUGUUCGGGAUAGCCCUUCGAAAGGGGGAUUAAUACCGGAUACGUUAGUCUGUUAUAAGGCAGAUUAAGAAAGGUGGCCUCUAUUUAUAAGCUAUCGCAUUUGGAGGGGUCUGCGUACCAUUAGUUUGUUGGUGGGGUAAAGGCCUACCAAGACUUCGAUGGUUAGCGGGUCUGAGAGGAUGAUCCGUCACACUGGCACUGAAACACGGGCCAGACUCCUACGGGAGGCAGCAGUGAGGAAUAUUGCGCAAUGGGGGAAACCCUGACGCAGCGACGCCGCGUGGGUGAGGAAGGCUUUCGGUCGUAAGCCCUGUCAGAA